rnacentral:lncRNA from 1 species
UUUUAGCCGAUUACAAACAAACCAUCCUUUUGGUACGAAACUCCUCGUCGACGAUCGGGUAACUACGUGAAACGACUCGAUUAACCCGGGCCAGAUCGCAUCAUUUGGUAUCAGAGCUUGCAAAACAAGGAGCACCGACGUUCGUAGCUUUCUCGAAAGAUAGGUUUGUAAAAAAAAGUUUCAAAAAAAAUCAAAAAAAAAUCUCGAGUUGUAAUUUUAUUUUAUUUUCUCUUUUCUUUAUUGUAUUUGGCUUACUAUUGUAUUGGAUUAAAAAAAAAAAGAAAGAAAAUUGAAAAAAAAUUCAAAAAAAAGUGAAAAAAAUCGAACAAAAAAAAAGAGAGAGAAAGAAAAAAAUUGAAAAAAAAUUGAAAAAAAAGAAGAAGAGGAUUUCGUGAAUUUUGAAGAUAUUUUGGUAUUAUUCAAUUGUAUUUGAAGUGAAAAAAAAUCGAAGUAUAAAAAAAAAAGAAGUGAAAAGUCUUGUGAGUUUUAUUUUGUUAUUAUUUCUUGUUACCUCUGAGCAUCCAUUCCUUUUACCCCAAAAAAAAAAUGCCACACAUACUUUGAUUUUUUAUUUUUCCUUAUUUCAGCCUACCCUAUACACCCUAACGUUAUCCUUUGCACCCAUUUGAAGCCG